rfam:Amborella trichopoda AMTR_V1.0_contig_32653, whole genome shotgun sequence.
UUUGGGGGGAAGGAGCUCUCUUCAGUCCAGUCUAGGAUGGCAGUUCGAUCGAAUGCUGCUGCCGGGUCCUUCUCUUAUAAUGCCUUUGAUUUUUGUUUGAAAAGGAAACGAAGGCUUUGUGAUAGAAGUACGCGGGAGCUGAAUCUGGUUGACCCCUUCUUGCCUUGGACUGAAGGGAGCUCCCUCUUCUUUCUCC